ensembl:misc_RNA Metazoa_SRP Metazoan signal recognition particle RNA
UCUCUGGGGCAGUCCAGGCUACUCGGGAGGCUGAGGUGGGAGGAUCGCUUGAGCCCAGGAGUUCUGGGCUGUAGUGCGCUAUGCCGAUCGCGUGUCCGCACUAAGUUCAGCAUUAAUAUAGUGACCUCCCGGGAGCGGGGGACCACCAGGUUGCCUAAGAAGGGGUAAACCGGCUUAGGUCGGAAACGGAGCAGGUCAAAACUCCGUGCUGAUCAGUAAUGGGAUCGCACCUGUGAAUAGCCACUGCACUCCAGCCUGGGCAACAUAGGGAGACCCCGUCUCUU